AUUGAACGCUGGCGGCAGGCCUAACACAUGCAAGUCGAGCGAGAGGCGGACGGGUGAGUAAUAUCUGGGAACCUGCCUGAUGGAGGGGGAUACCUAAUGGAAGCGGUAGCUAAUACUGCGUCCCAUCAAGUGUGCGUAGGUGGGAUUAGAUGGUGGGUGGGGUAACGGCCCACCUAGGCGACGAUCCCUAGCUGGUCUGAGAGGAUGACCAGUCAAACUGGAACUGAGACACGGUCCAGACUCCUACGGGAGGCAGCAGUGGGGAAUAUUGCACAAUGGGCGAAAGCCUGAUGCAGCCAUGCCGCGUGUGUGAAGAAGGCCUUCGGGUUGUAAAGCACUUUCAGCUGGGAGGCGUUACCCGCAGAAGAAGCACCGGCUAACUCCGUGCCAGCAGCCGCGGUAAUAC
rnacentral:rRNA from 1 species